UACGUAGGGGGCAAGCGUUGUCCGGAUUUACUGGGCGUAAAGAGCGUGUAGGCGGCCAAACAGGUCCGUUGUGAAAACUGGAGGCUUAACCUCCAGACGUCGACGGAAACCGUAUGGCUAGAGUCCGGAAGAGGAGAGUGGAAUUCCUGGUGUAGCGGUGAAAUGCGCAGAUAUCAGGAGGAACACCGGUGGCGAAGGCGGGUCGCUGGGCUGACACUGGCGCUGAAGCGCGAAAGCUAGGGGAGCGAACGGG
rnacentral:rRNA from 1 species